AGUCGUGAAUUGUAAAGUUACUCGUUCGUUGAAUAAAUGAUGAUAACAGAUCUUUAGAAUCAACGGAUAGCUUUCUCAAGUUGCGUAAAAACAAGAUAUUGUGCCCCAGAGAUCCGUGGAAUAGUAUCAAUUGAAUAAUAAUCGAAUAUUUCCAUCUCAGAGUGAACUAUGGAAGUUGAGAACAUGCCAUCUUCGUAUAAAUCGUUGAGUAAUUUAGCCGUGGUGAACGGUUGAUAUAUUUAAUUUGACGAUCAUCUCCAAUUAACACCGCGCGUUUAGCUCGUGACUUCAUCAUAGCGAAUAAAACUGCACCGUAAUGAACCAAUAAAGCUUCAUCAAUGAAUAUACGUUCGUAGUGGUAAUCGUUUCCGUGCAUUAGAUAUGAAUCAAUCGUUCGAUAAUUACGUAAAAAUUCAAUAUCAUCACUUGACAGUCCUAAUUUCUUAGCUAAACGUGUACGGAAGUCGAUAGCCGCUUCUUUUGUUGGAAAGAGUACUAAAUCUGAUCCAUUGUGCCGAAUAUUGUUUAAGAUAUACGUUGUUUUGCCACAACCUGCUACUCCUUGAACCAGUUUAGUGUAAGGUAAUUCAAAGUCGUUGAUAUCGAUAUUUUUACACUUAAGAUACAGGUCAUAAUCGCUUAAAACUCUUGAUUCCUUCGUUACGAUUAGUGUUUCAGAGGCUAGUAUUCGCUUGUUAUCCUCUAGAUCUUUAGAUUUAAUGAAGCGUUUUCCAUCAUGCUUGUAUUUGUGAUCAAUUACGUUGGAAGAUGGUAUGUGUUUGAAGAAACCGUCGGAGUUAUCGUAGAUACCAAUUUCCAGAUCGUCAAUGUCGACUAAUUUUUCGAUAUUAUCUUCAUCAGUGUUUAUGAUCUUGUUAUGGAUUCGUUUUGCGUUAAGAUGUGCUGCUUUAUAUGUAUGGUACCAAAUUGCUAAUUGUUCCCGUGUCGCGUUUGUGAUGUAAUCGAAUUCAUACUCUGGUUCUGGUAUAGGUGGUUGGAAGUCAAUAGUGAAAGCGUUUACUGGUAAAUCAAACGUUGGAUCGUAAUGAUCAGGUUUUGAAUAAUCGUAUUCCUUGAGUCUAUUGGCUUCAAAUAACUCAUCGUAGAUAGUUCUGUCUUUUUCAGAGGUACUUGUGGAUUUGGGACGAAUGAUCACCGGACUGGAAUCAGAAGCUACAUCUGUGAAAACUUUUUUCAAUUUCUCGUUCAGUUGCUGUAUUGGAUAGAAUAUACCGGCAUUGUUUUUGAAGAAUUUCGUUAUAUCAGGCUUUACGUUACCAUGCAUAUCUUCAUCGACGAUAUAACUACCAUCAAUGGAAGGAUGUGGAUUAACUGAUGUGAAAAUUAAUGAAGUUUCGAAAAUGACCCGUACAUUACGUAACUUUGAUAAAGCAGAAAAUAAUUUCUGAAACGCAUGCCAUCGUAUGGUUUGUACAUGAUGCAAAUUGUUCUUCGGUGGUAAAACUAAUGGAAAUAGAACAAUAAUAUCUUUGAAUUUCUUAUCGAUGAGAGUAGCCAUUAAUUGAUCUGAGAGUUUAGCAAAUUGACUGAAAUCCACGAAUUUGCUAUUUAAUUCGCGUUGACCAAAUGAAAUAAUAGCGUGUUUUUUAUUAUAUUUGUUGUUCUUAAUUUGAUGUAGUAAAUCGCGAAGUGCAAUGUCAUUACGUAAAAUUGAAGAAGACGUAACAUCGCAUUCGGCUAUUUCAGACAAUUUUUGGGCUAAAGAAUCCCCGAAAAACUCGUAUUCCGAAAAUGGGAAUUCUUUUUUCUUACGUAAUGUAUUAUUUAUUCUUGAUCGUUGUUCCCCGUCCCCUCCUCUGCGUCGGAGGAGUCGGAGUCUUCCCCGUUUUUUGAACUUUCAUCAUUAUGUUGUUGAAAAUCAUCUCCGUCAUUUUGUGUUUGAGAGGAUGAUGGCUGAGAGAUAUCCGUGUGAUUAACUUGUGUUCGGAAUGAUUGAUUGCCAGAACUUCCCGAUGGUGACUGGCUGGAUGCCCCAGUGGUGUUUUGAUUAGGUUUGGAGUUGGUUUGCGAACCUUUGCCAAAUUUGCUGUAUUUCUUGUUUUUUUUAGCAGGCAGAAUCGGAGUAGAUUGAUAUAAUAACGAAUUAGGUUGUCGUAAUGAUGUAGGUAACUGUCGAAUGGUUAAGUCUCGGAUGUGUUUUUCGAAUGCUACUCUAUUACAUGUAAUUUCAAGACCGAAAUGAUGUUGCAUAUUGUGAGGUACAACUGAGUGUAAGGUGGAAAUAAGGUCGUCAUCGGUCAUAUUAGUAUCUCCCAGGAUAGUGUACCAUUUUAAGAAAUCUAGAGCCCAGCUCUUAGUUGAAUCGGUAGCUAAAUUGAUUGUACGGAAAUGUGCUUUUGCACAUUCGUGUUGUUGUUGAUUCCACAUAGUUAGAAUGAAUGACGUACGAUGAUUAUAAUAAAAAGCAAAUGAUCGUUUGAGUGAAUCUUUCCAGUUGAUGGCAGCCUCACUGAUUAAGAGUUCGUUGAAAAAUUCAAUAUAUUGAGAGUUGGAGGCACCUUUAUUACACAUUUGUUGUUCAAAUUUGAGGACAAAGGAAAUUACUUCAAAUAAGUUGGUGUUGGUCAACCUGUGUCUAUUGUCGAAAAUAUUCUUUGAUUUCAAUUUGUAAUUAUUUUUCUCUGCAAUGUCUAAGUCAUAACUUAAUUGCCGUUGCCUGGGAUUAGCAUCAGGUGUUUUCAUGAGAGGAUUUGUUCCAAGUUGGAAUUCCACAAUUUGUUCUUCUCCAUUCGAUUUUUUAUAAAUUAAUCCCGAAUUAUUAAUCAUACUUUCCAUAACUUCCUUGGUCUGAGCUAACCUUCCACUUUCCUUAAGAAUUUCAAUACCUGGUGGAGUUUGAUUUUGAGUUAAAUCAACCACAUUGUUGAUGGUAGUAACGUUAUUAGGAGUUGAUACAUUCGUAGCAGUUGAUAUGACAUUUGACGUAACGUUAGAUGUUGUAGUGUUUGAUGGAAUCGUAUUAUUGUAUACUGGUGGCGGUUGUGGGUAUAUAAUUGCCGGAAUUGUGGGAUUUGUAAUUUGAGGGUGUGGAGUAGGUGGUGGUGGGUUAGGAAUACCAUUUGAUGUAAAUAAUGGGACUGGACUAAUCUCGUUGAAACGUUUAAUCAUAGGCUGUAAAACCUCGUAUGUAUCCGCUGCAGCAUCCAACAAGUCUUCACACAUAGGUCUAAUUUCUGCCAUCUCGUCAGUAGCAGCAAGUCCCAAUCUCAUACCACUUAACGCUACGUGGUUGAUGUGUUGUGUUUGUUUAUAUGAUUCGUGGAAUAGAUUCUUUAUUGUACGGGUAUCUUUGAUCAUGGCUUCGCGGAAGUAUAGAAAUCCUCUUUCGAUUUGGGUAGAUAGUCUCUUAUAUACAUCUUUAAUAUCCUCUCUAGUAUCUGACAAUUCCUUUUCAAGAGAACGUAUCCGUAAUUGCAUAUCCUCAAUAGAUUUGAUACGAUCAUCAUUGCAUUCUAGUGACCAUUUGAUAUGAUCUUGUAGCUCAGUAUUCUCGGUUGGAGUCGGAACCGUUAUUUCAACGCCAUCAAAUCCCAUUGAAUGAUCGAGAGCAUCAAAAUUAUAAACUCGACGUGCUGCCUGGCCUUCUCUCCUAGGAGGAUCUAGAAUAGCGGCUAUUGAUAAAUUUUUAUUGGAGACAUCCUUGCCUAUGUUUUCACACGCAGCCCUAUUGUCAAAAUCACACCACUGUAGAGUUUGCUCAAGUGUAAAAGCACUUUCUUCUCUUUCCUCAUGAUCGGAAAUAUUAGGUGGUGUGGCAGCGUGUUGCUGUUGAGAAGGUUGAUAUUGAGGAAGUUGACUCUGUGGGCGUCUAUUCAUAGAUUCAUGCAACUCAUCGAGUAAACUAUUAUGUGCAUGGCUGGUACGAGAUUGUUCUUCAUUAUUACGUAAGUUUAGAACUUUAGAGACGUUUUUGCCUAUUUUAUACCCUCUAGCUGAUACGAACCUAGCACAAGCCUUUGCAACUGGAAGAUCUUUAGUUUGGUUGACUGCUUUCAGAUCUUCUCUAUACUUGGAAAAAUUACGUGAUUUGGGGUGAUAACUGUGACCUUGACCAUCUACUACCCGUUGAGGAGUUGGCUGAGGUUGAGUGGCUUGGGCAACGCUUGUAUUCUGUCCCUGAGUACUCGAACUCGUUUGUAUAUUUUGAGUUGAGGUACUAGGUUGAGAUACAGUUGGGUUCGGAAUUGCAGUAGUAUUCCCUGUUUGAUUGCCAUUUGAGGAAAUCGAAUUAUUGGCUUGACUCGGAGUUUGGCUCGGAGGAUUAGAUUGUACCGUACCUUGAGAUGGCUGGACCAACUGAGGAUUACCUUGAGGAGGAGCCAUGUAUUGGAUUGGUUGAGGUGGACCAUAAACCAUAGAUUGAUUUGGAAAGUAGAAACCAGGGGUUCCAUAUGGCACCGGAGGUUGACCAUUCGGAGGCAUGAUUUGAGUGGAACUGGCAAAAUAUUGCGGAUGAGGCCACUGAGUCACGUUUGGAUUGAAAACUUGAGGUUGAACAUAGUAUCCAGACUGGUUUGGAUUGACUGGAACGUUACCUUGGUUUUGACCAUUGGAUUGUCCGUUGACAUUUCCCACGUUAUUAGAUUGGUUGGAAUCCAUUUCAAUAAUUGAACCGUUUGACUGGAACUGGAAUUGAACUGGAACGCAAUUAAUUACGCAAGAGACACAAUGUAUCUGUAACAAAACUAACGAAAAACGUAAGUUUGGAAGUAUAAUGAAAGCAAACGCUAAGUUACGCAAAGUGAAACGAUAUUGAGAACUUCUUCAUAAAAGAGAAAUAAACAUAAUGAUUCGGAUAUCGAAUCGUAUACUCGGAGCUCUGUCGAAAGUGAGAGAUAAGUAAUCUCGUUGGUGGGGAUUCUAGGCCAAAGUACGAUGCCUGUAGAGUUGGUAUUUUCCCAUAAAAACUUGAAUAUAUUUUCCAUUGUAUAAAAUUCAGCAAAAAUCACGUUCAUACGUUAUCAUGGUAACAUGUUUGAACGUAAUUUCGUCGUAACAAUGCCGAUUAUUCGAAUGUGAUCGCUGACUCGUAGGUAGGUACCUAUUUCGCGUUGUUGAACACAUUGAGAUAAUGUAACGUCAAAUUCCCCAUCUAUUUAUAGGUCGAAAAUGUUCGUGCAAUAAACUGCAAAUAUAACUCGUAUUUUACUGCCAUAUUUGAUAAAUAGGUAAUGAACAUUCCUAUCUUCUCGAAACAUGAAAUCUUCUCGAACUGAUGAAAUAACUGGUUCAUUUUCCAUUACGUAAAAUACAUAUGAAAUAAAUGCGAACCAUAAAUGGUACCAUAUUUUCGUCCAUUGACUGCUGGAUUGAAUCCUUACGUAAAUGACUUCUUUAUGGUGAUUUAUGGUCCAAGAAUCUUAUUGAAUAACAUCUUAUGAACUAAACACACACAUGUGAAAAGUAGGUGUGGGUGUUGAAGUUGACCUUGAUGGUGUUUGGUCCUUGGAUCUUCGAAAUUUCUAUGGAAAUCUUAUGGCAUUUAUGGCACUCGAGCCCCACGUUGGGCGCCAAAUGUAAAGACAGUAAUUACUCGCACCUAGGUGCUAAAGUCUUACAUGGUCUAACUUCACCCUUACAACCUGGUUAGACCUAUACCUAGUGCUAUGCACAGAUAGGCACUGGCGAUUUACCGCCUCGUAUACCUACUCUUCGGAGAUAAUAUGAAAUAUAAAUUAUGCAUAUAGAGAAAUAUGAAUAAAGUGAAUACUCGGUCGACUAUAACGUUACAUUAGCUUUAUUGUUAAUUAAGCACUGUAUUGUACAUAGUCUGAUUAUAUUACGUAAAUAGAAUUACGAUUUGAAUAAAGGAAGCGAGUACAAGUAGUCGCAAAUGUGUGUUAAAAACACCACCCAGGGAAGAAGGACAUUUAUGCCGGAUAGGGCAGGUCUGGCAUAAAUGACUCUAAGAAGAGAAUUUAAAGAUGCUGCAGUUCAUCUCUUGAGUAACCACGAUCCGAUCCAAUAGUCUAUUACGUAAAAGAUAUUCCAUAUCCCAGUAAUAAUUAGGUGGAAAGUACGUGCUCCAUACGUCGAACGUACUGAUAGGGCUCCGCACCUCGACCUAUCUAUUGAAUGGAAACUAAGCUCUCGCUUAGUGAGUCCGUGGUUGACUGAAGUUGUGAUCGGAUAACGUGAAACACUUCACUGACGCGAACUAAACCGCUAGAUAGCGUGGUUACGUAAGAGAACUGAGCGAAAGGUAGAAGGAGAACAAUUUUCCCUCACCUAAGCGACGGAAAAUGGCGCAAUUCCUCCCUUUACAUGGUUAAAAUUGAUUCGAGGUCGUGGAGAAAAAUUCAAUCGAAGGGAUUUUGUUGAGUAGCCCAAAAAUUGUGCUCCAAAUUAAGGUAUUACGGUAGGUAGCCUUAGGGCCAUGGCCACCUACUUUACCUUUGUACAUAUAUUAUCUACUUAUCUGUCACCACCAAAUAAAGUGUGGUCCUACUCGUAUUGCGAUGCCAACAAUUUUCCAAUUUGAGUAAACACAAACAAACAGCGCAGUCGAGCCAAAAUUGAAUGGACAGCGCAAUAUAGGCAUCGAGAUAUUGCUCUAACGAGCAACGAGAGGCAUUUACCUGCGUUUAGCGACGAGUUAGCUUUUGGCUAUUAGCCUGCACUGAUUAGAAAAAUACAAAAUACAUCAUAUUCGCGCACGCCGAGUACGGAGCGAAUAUGCGCGAACGUGUAGUAUUUAUGCGCUUAUUCGUAAGUCGUCAAAGAUGUGUAUAGUUUAUAGCCUAAUUGUUAAAAGUGUUUACGGGCAUGGUCCUCCUCGCUGACGCUGACGCUGGCGUGGCGCUGCUAAUGCUACGGCUACGAGUAUCUCACCCCGUCUUAAUUGCUAGUUUAAAUCGUUUGACAUUGCAUGGACGUGAGACGUGAAAUGGGUACAAAAACUGCAAAUUACGAGUACGAGUAUGAGUAUCCAUCUCCUCGUAUUAUAGCACACAGAUACGUAUCUAGACGCUAUCGCUAUCGCUAUCGCCAACACCAUAUUAUAUGUACAUACAUACUACCAUAAUAUGACACGACACUACAACACUAGACAAGACAAGACAAGACAAAACGUCCGCCAAGUACAAUACUCGUACGUAUACAUCUACACAUAUCUUUUUAAACAACAAAAGAUGGAAAAUUUUCUUAAUUAGCGCAAUUAUCGCAAUUAUUAAUUAUCUGUUUUAUUGUCUUAAUUACAACUUAUGCGCUGGUGCUGUUGUAUUUAUGGCGAUGACGGCGGCGCGGCCGCAGCAGCCUGCGCCUCUUCGUCUUCGUUUUCGUAGCAACAUCAUAAAAGAUAUACGAAUACGAAAUAGGCUAUACACAUUACACACUCGUACCAAUAAUUCGAGCAUUCGAACUGCGAGAUGCGAAUGCUAAAUGCUAAAUGAAAGGAACUAGGAACCUUUACAAUUCUCAAUUGCAAUUUUUGUUGUUCUAUCAUUACGAUGAUUAAGGUAGUUUUAAAAAAUACCUAGACCUACCCACUCCUUUUUAACCCUUUACCUCUGGGCUCUCGUCACGAGUCUCUAACCUACCUAACCUACGUUAGAAUCGUGUAUGGAGAAAAGUUUUUAUAUACUCGUAAGUACUUAAUACAUGUACCCGUGUACCGAGCGGCGCGGCGCGGCGACCACCCGUUAUCAUCAAUCAAUCCCAUCAAUUUUCUAUACGCAAAUCGUAUUGUAGCCGUAGCCGUAGCCCGUCUUACUAUGUACUCGUGCGAGUAUGACGGUGAUGACCGUCGGCCGGGGCCGGGGCCGGGGCCGGAUGGUAUUAUUACAGCGGUCAAGUUGUAGGCUACCACUCGUAAUUACAUGCUAAUGAGAGAAAGAAUGUGCGACAAUUGCCGAGCGAAAUUAAUCGAAUACGCUACGCUGCGCUGCGCCGUGCGAUGCUGCACACUAUUCAAAAUGUAAACGUAAAUUUACGAUGAAUUAAGCUUUUCAAUUCGUAGAUAUGUAGUGCAUACUCGUAUUAUGUAUGUAGCACUAGCGUGUAUCGAGGCUAGUACUCGUAUUAACAUUUCUCCAGAGUCCAGAAUGAGCUAAAGAACAAUGUUUUUGGCUUAUCUGUUCGAGCAUUUUCACCAAAAUCGCAGUGGUUUUCGAGCGGACAUCUCAAAAACAUAUUUUCUAACUAUAAAAUAUUUAUGUAUGUACUUACACCUCUUUAUAUAUUUUUACGGGCGAAUAAUUAGAAUAGUGGAGGUGAAAAAACAUGAUUGAAACGGAGAGACUCAAAUUAGCUCGAGUUGAAGUGAAAUGCGAGUGUAUGUAAUACUAUGGCAAUGGCAGUAACAUUUUGCUUGUUGGGUAAACAAAAAUACCUAAUAAAAAUAUCAAUCGUAAAUGGUUGCGUUGAAUGUACUCGUACAUUGUACAUUGCACCUACACUGCCUGCGAUGGCCCAUGUAGGCAAUUUAUUAAACGCGUUCUUUCUUGUACGAGUACGAGUACGUUAGUGUUAUUAGUACCUCUCUCGUCUCGUCUAGGGGUCUGGAACUCUGGACUUUGUAUCAACUCGCUUCGAAUCAACGUUUCCGAAAAUUCACUUAUUUCAGUUGCCAGUCGCCUCUCGAUGGUGGAUGGUCGGUAAUUCGGUAAUUAGGUAUACUAUCAACCGUGAGAUGACACCUUCGUCAUUCGACCAUUCGUGUUUUAUUCGCUAUGAUUUAUGCGACGUAUUUAUAGAUCAAAAAAAAAAAAAAAGAGUAAAAAACGAAAAAAAUUAUCACGCGAUAAGGUAAUCCUUCUAUCAACGCACAACGCGGUAUAUGGCACAGUUAUGUGCAAAUACCUUCACUAUAAUAUACUUAAUGACGCGCGUUUCUCGAUGAAAUUAGUUCGGUACUCGCGGCCGGGCUAAUUAAUGAAAUGCAAUAAGAUAGUAAAAAUUAGCCACCUAUUACAUAAUCAUUUUGGUGAAUGAAGAACCGGAACCGGAUUUGUUGAAUAUUACUAACAAGUUCAGGUACCUGCACCUGUACCUUCCGAGUAAAACAUUGUACUAUAAUACGAGUACAUGACCGUGUAAAGUCUGUCAACUGCUACGUAGUAAGUAUGAAUGAAAUGGAAUGGGCGAGGGGGCAUGCAGAGGCCAGGUUCCACAGUCGCAGCAGUUUUUUCCAGGGACUGAAAGCUAGCCGAAAGCUGAAAGCCAAAAGCCUAAAAAAGCCUAAAAUUUCAUAUUUUUCACCAAAUUUUGAAAGUUAAAAGCUAGCUAAGUUUCAUUUUGAAAAAGUCAAAAGCCAGCUAGAAGUUUCAUUUCAUACGGCUUUUUACUAAGCUUUUUUUUCAUGGUUUUUGUUACUGUUUUAAUUCUACUAACUGAAUUGUUUGAAAUUUUCUAAAUUAUAAUAAAUUGAGAAAUUGGGCUUCGAUGCUCCGAAGUAUCAAUUUAUCAUUCUAAAAACAUGAAAUUUUUAUUCGUUUACGAGAAAAAUUGAAUCAAAAUUCACCACUUUUAUUUUUCAUUCUAAAAUUUAAUAUUUUUCAUUCAAAAUUUCAGCUUUUAGAAAAGCCAAAAGCUAGCCGAAUUAAUUGCAAAAGCCAAAAGCUAAAGCCAAAAGUUUCAGUUUUUUCUUUUGGAAGUUAGAAGCCGAAAGUCAAGUUUCUUUUUGAAGCUUUCAGUCCGUGGUUUUUUCUGCAGAUUACGAGUAUAGGCAUGGCAUAGGCUGACGACGACGACGACGACGGGACGCGAUUAAACUAUCGCUAUCGUAACUUGGUGAGUCACCCCAAUAUCUUCGUUUUACAGUCAUAUUUGGCCAAAAUAAUUGAUUCACUCGCUCAUUUGCUGUUGCGAUUAAUAGACGCUGAAAGUACGAGUAAAUCCCUUCGUCGAUUCGACUAUAAGAAUGGGUGUAGGCUAUUACAGUAGGAACUAGGAACCUAUACUUACUCGUAUUUUUUAACCCCGAGUCGGAGUCGCGUAAAAUUUUAUAUUCGUUCGAUGGUUUGGCUGACUAAUGCCAAUGCGAAUUGCCAACCAUCGAACCAACCCAAUGGAAAGGAAACUUUACGAUGCGUUCGUUUGUUAUUAGAAUUCAUUACGAGCGUUAUAUCGACAUUCGAGAUCUAGCCCUUUGAAUGGUGCCUUUUAACGCAAACGGCAAACGGAAAAAGGGUAAGACACGACCCGACUAGACUCGACUCGGCACCAGUGUCGCAAUUACAUAAUGAAAUAUCGCCGCGAAGGCGAAGGCGAAGGCGAAGGUAUUAUUUGAAUUAAAUAAGCCGUAGUACUCGUACACUACAUGGUACAUAGACAUACCUACGCGAUGAUUGGUGGAAAUGAAUCUGCAGUGAUUAGGUCUGCGUAGGUACUUAUAGAGUUGACGAAAUUUAAUUUACCUGUUUGCGCUCGUAUAAAUUAUACGAGUACGUUAUUACCUGUGGAAAUGUGUGUAAUGUAUAAUAUUGUAUAUGUAGUACUAUGUACGUACCUGUACCUCUACCUCUAUCUACUGUAGCUGAUGUAGAUUUUUCUUCUGUUUUUU